GCCCUUCCCCCUGCUCCGGGCUCCCGCUAGCCGUCUCGCCCGGAAAUGCGGCUACGACUUGCAGCCUAACCCAGAGGCUAACCCGGGCGUGAUUGCACCUCUGCUGCUCUGCUAUCUCGGGUGCUCAGAGACAAGGAUCCUAACCCGGCAUGGGGCUAAUAAGAGCGUGUUAUCUGUAUGCAAACCCCUGGGAAAUAGUCGUAAUUGUCUUCGUUUAUCCACAGACCACUGUCUCCAUUUGACCAGUUUCCUGAGGCUUGGAGAAGAGAUCCUCUCCAGAGAUUAUCCAGAUGGGUCUCAUGUAACCAAGUUGGCCUCAGACUCUUGGACCUUGGACUUCUGUCCUGUUUCCAUCUCUGGUGCUCAGGUUUCGGAACUCACCAUCUUCCUACCUCUGUUUCCCAAGUUGUAUGGGCUGCUGCACCUGGCUGACAUGGUAUCUCAGUUUGUGUUUCUAUUGCUGUGAAGAGACACCAUGGCCGAGGCAACAUAAAGGAAAACAUCUCAUUGA
rnacentral:lncRNA from 1 species